CGGUCACUACCUCAAGAAGUCUGAUAAGAAGCUGAGCUGAGACUAGAUGGUGAAAUUCGAACGCAAGCUAUGUUCCAAGUUUAUGGUUCCAGCAGCUCUGCAGUGCCAUGAGGAGCCUUGUAAAAUUGCCUUUAAAGAAAAGGCAAACCAUUUACCAGCAGGUGGAUUCAUUCCAUGAAGCUGUGUUGUGUUUCCUGACAAGUGCUGUGGACUAUGCACUUAAGAAGCUGCCACUGGAAGAGCCACUGAUCA